CACACUCUUUUUAUUUUGUUUUCAUGUUUAUAAAAUGCAGUAAAUUAAAGUAAGAAAAUAUUUAUUGGGUUUUCUAAGUUUUUCCUUUUAAGAUAAAAAACUAAAAUAGAAAAGAAUAAAUAAGAAGAGUAAAUAAAAACUUACUUGAUAAAUUGGGGAGGAACUCCCCCAAGCUGGAAGUUGAUGUCGGCCUUACCCGAGGUUCCAGAACCGCAUCAUGGUUGUGAUGUUGUCGUUCAUUAUUGUUGUAUCUUGUCUCAGCUCUUGUACUGCAGCGGCAUGGUCCUGGUUCCAUUUUUGUUGCUCUUCCAGGAGUCGUCCAUGUUCUGCUUGCAUGUUCUGGAUGUUGAGGAGAGUGUUGUCUUUACGGGUGAAGAAAGCACCGGCCUCUUGAUAGUAGUCAUUCGUGAAAGUGUAGAAGGCGUCGGAGUAUUGUCCUGCAUCAAAUUGGGGCGGAGGUCUGGAUCCUGAAGCUCCAUAUGGAUCAGUGGAGUACCUGCCCGUAUGGAAAGGCGGGUUUGUCCACUGGUGGUCUUGCCUCUCCGGCCAUGUCUCCUCUGUUGGCUCUUGUGGUUGCGCAUGUCAAACCCAUGGGUCUCGAAGGACUCG
rnacentral:lncRNA from 1 species